rnacentral:rRNA from 1 species
GCUGGCGGCGUACUUAACACAUGCAAGUCGAACGAGGAUCAUCGGGUUAGCAAUAAUUCGGUGGUCCUAGUGGCGUACGGGUGAGUAACACGUGGGUAACCUGCCCUCGAGUCCGGGAUACCCUCUCGAAAGGGAGGCUAAUACUGGAUACGUUCCCUGGGGCGCAAGACCUGGGGAGGAAAGGUAGCGAAAGCUGCCGCUCUUGGAGGGGCUCGCGGCCUAUCAGCUAGUUGGUGAGGUAAUGGCUCACCAAGGCUAUGACGGGUAGCUGGUCUGAGAGGACGACCAGCCACACGGGAACUGAGACACGGUCCCGACUCCUACGGGAGGCAGCAGUGGGGAAUUUUCCGCAAUGGGCGAAAGCCUGACGGAGUGACGCCGCGUGGGGGACGAAGGCCUUCGGGUCGUAAACCCCUGUCAGAGGGAAAGAAGGGUGCUGGCGUGAAUAGCGCCGGCAUCUGACGGUACCUUCAGAGGAAGCCCAGGCCAACUCUGUGCCAGCAGCCGCGGUAAGACAGAGGGGGCAAGCGUUGCUCGGAAUCACUGGGCGUAAAGGGCGCGUAGGCGGGAUGGCAAGUCGGUCGUGAAAUCCUUCGGCUCAACCGAAGAACGUCGGCCGAUACUGCCGUUCUUGAGGGAUGCAGAGGAGAUUGGAAUUCCCGGUGUAGCGGUGAAAUGUGUAGAGAUCGGG